GAUGAACGCUAGCGGCAGGCCUAAUACAUGCAAGCCGGACGGCAAGUUGAGUAGCAAUACUUGACCUAGAGUGGCGUAAGGGUGCGUAACACGUAUGCAAUCUGCCCACAGCCGGGGAGAUAGCCCUCCGAAAGGAGGAUUAAUAUCCCAUAGGAAGAUGAGAUGGCAUCAUUUUAUUUUUAAACUACGGGGCUGUGGAUGAGCAUGCGGUUGAUUAGCUAGUUGCGGGUAAAGGCCCACCAAGGCGAUGAUCAAUAGGGGACCUGAGAGGUGAUCCCCCACACUGGCACUGAGAUACGGGCCAGACUCCUACGGGAGGCAGUAGUGGGGAAUAUUGGACAAUGGGCGAAAGCCUGAUCCAGCAAUGCCGCGUGAGUGAUGAA
rnacentral:rRNA from 1 species